rnacentral:lncRNA from 1 species
UUCUCAGUGGGGUUCUGAAGCCUGGCUGGCACCGACGGUUGCUUUGCUUCUUUCUAUUCUUUCCCCGUCUCCUUUUUAUUUCAUUUUAUUUAUGUAUUUUAAGGUACAGAUGUUGAGAGGCCUGCUGGGGUCUCACUGGAAGUAAAGCAAGGGAAGAGGCCUGGGUGCUUUUCAUGACUGGAGAAAAAGCGAGGAAGCAAAGACUAUGCCAAGAAGAAAGUCAACUACAGAUGGAGAAGAGAAACAUACAGAACAUUCUUAUUCUGGACUCUGGUGCCAAGCGAACCAUUCUUUCUUUUCUGUGAACACGGGAGAAGCAACUUACCUUCAUAGAAAACUGGACACAUGUCCUCUCGUCAACUUGGUAUGAGACACAAAGCAUGAACAGUCCAAGUUGUUGACAGAGUUGCUACACAGGGUUAUUGGGGGAUACAACCUUCUCCUGCCAAAUACUGUUCAUUAUUUCCCUUGCCUCCUCAGCCCCAUCGAUCACUUGUGAACUGGAAACGUGACUCUAUUUCUGUAAGUAUUGGAUGCAAAGUGCUUCCAUCCAAUCAAUAUUGUAACAAGAGGAACUUAACCUCUGUCUACGGUCACGAAGUUGAUGGACCACCCACAGAAGCAAGGCACUGCUUUUCCCUGCUAUGGAUGGUCACCGGCAUCCCAUGAUUUAAGGUAAACUAUUCGGAGUCAUUUUCAACAACUGAUAAAUGUACUGUAGUCUAUUAGUGUGAUGUGGUCUUACUCAAGAGAGCUGUUAGCAUAUACUGUGCCAGGAGAAUAAAUAAUGAGAAAC